rnacentral:rRNA from 1 species
UAGGGAAUCUUCCGCAAUGGACGCAAGUCUGACGGAGCAACGCCGCGUGAGUGAAGAAGGAUUUCGGUUCGUAAACUCUGUUGUUAGAGAAGAACAGCGCAUAGAGUAACUGUUAUGCGUGUGACGGUAUCUAACCAGAAAGCCACGGCUAACUACGUGCCAGCAGCCGCGGUAAUACGUAGGUGGCAAGCGUUGUCCGGAUUUAUUGGGCGUAAAGCGAGCGCAGGCGGUCAAUUAAGUCUGAUGUGAAAGCCCCCGGCUCAACCGGGGAGGGUCAUUGGAAACUGGUUGACUUGAGUGCAGAAGAGGAGAGUGGAAUUCCAUGUGUAGCGGUGAAAUGCGUAGAUAUAUGGAGGAACACCAGUGGCGAAGGCGACUCUCUGGUCUGUAACUGACGCUGAGGUUCGAAAGCGUGGGUAGCAAACAGG